AUUGAACGCUGGCGGCAGGCUUAACACAUGCAAGUCGAGCGAGCGGCGGACGGGUGAGCAAUGUCUGGGAAUCUGCCUGGUGGAGGGGGAUAACUACUGGAAACGGUAGCUACUACCGCAUAGCUGAAGAUGUGCCCAGAUGGGAUUAGCUAGGGGGUGGGGUAAUGGCUCACCUAGGCGACGAUCCCUAGCUGGUCUGAGAGGAGGAACAGCCACACUGGAACUGAGACACGGUCCAGACUCCUACGGGAGGCAGCAGUGGGGAAUAUUGCACAAUGGGCGCAAGCCUGAUGCAGCCAUGCCGCGUGUGUGAAGAAGGCCUUCGGGUUGUAAAGCACUUUCAGCGAGGAGGCGUUACUCGCAGAAUAAGCACCGGCUAACUCCGUGCCAGCAGCCGCGGUAAUAC
rnacentral:rRNA from 1 species